UGAGAUUCUGUCUUAAAAAAAAAGAGAGAGAGAAAACAGAAUAUGGACUCUCCAACAGAACAUUAUUUGAAUCCAAAUGCCAGCAGGCCACCAUAGAACCGAGAAGAGCCUGUGUUCCAGUUUGAAGGUCAUCCUGCAGGGAAUGUUCUCUUACUUGGCUGACUAUUGGGAAGCUCUGCUGGGGGCCCACAGGAAUGUGAAUAAACACACUUGGAAAGUUUGCAGAAGCUCUGGUCCCAGCCUCCUGCUGGUAUUUGGGAUUAAGCCUUAUUUUGCAAUGGGUGUAAUCUCAACCGACACUGAGGGGUGCCUGAAGUCCCUGCAAAACCCUUUCUGGUAUCAGCUACCUAUCACAGGAUGCAGAGGACAAGGUCAGGUAGAGGCUGUGUUCCCAGUGAGAGGAAGGCGGGGGAGGGAAUGGAAAGAGCACUGGAAAUGGGGUGGGAAGACCAAGGUUCGAAUCCCAGCCCUGUCCCCUCCUUGCACGGCUACUUAGGUGAGAGUCCCUGCCCUUUCUGAGUUCCUUCCUUCCCUCCCUCCCUUAUCCUCCCCUCCUGUUGCCUCCUCUUCCCUUCUUCCCUUCCUUC